UACGAAGGGGGCUAGCGUUGUUCGGAUUUACUGGGCGUAAAGCGCACGUAGGCGGAUUGGUCAGUUAGGGGUGAAAUCCUGGAGCUCAACUCCAGAACUGCCUUUAAUACUGCCAGUCUCGAGUCCGGAAGAGGUAAGUGGAACUCCUAAGUGUAGAGGUGGAAUUCGAUAGAUAUUAGGAAGAACACCAGUGGCGAAGG
rnacentral:rRNA from 1 species